UCAGCUCUCUUUGCCUCUGGCUUAGAUCAUGUGUAGUAUCUGUUCUUACCAGUUUAAUCGCUGGUAGUUCUGCAUUGCAGAAUGUCAUGAUUAUUCCAAUAUUUGGACCUCGCGACUUGGCCUCUGUGCUUGCAUACGCCUCGUUGCACAGUGUCCCUGGGCUUACACUACCCCUGGUCGACGCGAACCCUC
rnacentral:snRNA from 1 species